UACGUAGGGUGCAAGCGUUGUCCGGAAUUAUUGGGCGUAAAGAGCUUGUAGGCGGUUUGUCGCGUCUGCUGUGAAAUUUCGGGGCUCAACCCCGAACUUGCAGUGGGUACGGGCAGACUAGAGUGUGGUAGGGGAGACUGGAAUUCCUGGUGUAGCGGUGAAAUGCGCAGAUAUCAGGAGGAACACCGAUGGCGAAGGCAGGUCUCUGGGCAUUAACUGACGCUGAGGUGCGAGAGCGUGGGGAGCGAACCGG
rnacentral:rRNA from 1 species